GACGAACGCUGGCGGCGUGCUUAACACAUGCAAGUCGAACGGAAAGGCCCUGCCGUUGUGGGGUGCUCGAGUGGCGAACGGGUGAGUAACACGUGAGUAACCUGCCCUUGACUUUGGGAUAACUUCAGGAAACUGGGGCUAAUACCGGAUAGGAGCUCCUGCGGCAUGGUGGGGGUUGGAAAGUUUCGGCGGUUGGGGUUGGACUCGCGGCUUAUCAGCUUGUUGGUGGGGUAGUGGCUUACCAAGGCUUUGACGGGUAGCCGGCCUGAGAGGGUGACCGGCGACAAUGGGACUGAGAGACGGCGCAGAGUCCUACGGGAGGCAGCAGUGGGGAGUAUUGCACAGUGGGCGGAAGCCUGAUGCAGCAACGCCGCGUGCGGGAUGACGGCCUUCGGGUUGUAAACCGGUUUCGGCUGUGACGAAGCGUGAGUGACGGUAAUGGGUAAAGAAGCACCGGCUAACUACGUG
rnacentral:rRNA from 1 species